rnacentral:rRNA from 1 species
UACGGGGGGAGCAAGCGUUGUUCGGAUUUACUGGGCGUAAAGGGCGCGUAGGCGGCCACCGCAAGUCGACUGUGAAAUCUCCGGGCUUAACCCGGAAAGGUCAGCCGAUACUGCGGGGCUAGAGUGCAGAAGGGGCAACUGGAAUUCUCGGUGUAGCGGUGAAAUGCGUAGAUAUCGUAAGGAAGACCAGUGGCGAAGGCGAAUCUCUGGACAGUUACUGACACUGAGGCACGAAGGCCAGGGAGCAAACGGG